rnacentral:rRNA from 1 species
UAACCUGCCCAAGAGAUCGGGAUAGCACCUGGAAACAGAUGCUAAUACCGGAUAACAAUAGAUGGUGCCUAUCAACUGUUUAAAAGAUGGUUCUGCUAUCACUCUUGGAUGGACCUGCGGUGCAUUAGCUAGUUGGUAGGGUAACGGCCUACCAAGGCGAUGAUGCAUAGCCGAGUUGAGAGACUGAUCGGCCACAUUGGGACUGAGACACGGCCCAAACUCCUACGGGAGGCAGCAGCC